rnacentral:rRNA from 1 species
UACGUAGGGUGCGAGCGUUAAUCGGAAUUACUGGGCGUAAAGCGUGCGCAGGCGGCUCGUUAAGUCAGGUGUGAAAGCCCCGAGCUUAACUUGGGAAUUGCGCUUGUGACUGGCGGGCUGGAGUGUGGCAGAGGGAGGUGGAAUUCCACGUGUAGCAGUGAAAUGCGUAGAGAUGUGGAGGAACACCGAUGGCGAAGGCAGCCUCCUGGGCCAACACUGACGCUCAUGCACGAAAGCGUGGGGAGCAAACAGG